GAGUUUGAUCUUGGCUCAGAACGAACGCUGGCGGCAUGCCUAACACAUGCAAGUCGAACGAGACCUUCGGGUCUAGUGGCGCACGGGUGCGUAACGCGUGGGAAUCUGCCCUCUGGUUCGGAAUAACUCAGGGAAACUUGAGCUAAUACCGAUAAUGACUUCGGUCCAAAGAUUUAUCGCCUGAGGAUGAGCCCGCGUCGGAUUAGCUUGUUGGUGAGGUAAAAGCUCACCAAGGCGACGAUCCGUAGCUGGUCUGAGAGGAU
rnacentral:rRNA from 1 species